rnacentral:rRNA from 1 species
GAUACCCUAUUAUUUUAAAUGUUAAUAGAUGUUCUUAGUUAUUAAUAGUUAUGUUCUUUAAAGUUAAAGAAUUUGGCGGUAUUUUAGUCUGUUCAGAGGAACCUGUCUUUUAAUCGAUAGUCCACGAUUAUUUAAACUUUGAUUAUUAAAUUUAUAUAUCGUUGUUUUUAAAAAUUUUAGGAGGAUUAUAAUUUUUAAUAUUUAUUAUUAUAUUUUAUUUCAGAUCAAGGUGUAGUUUAUAUCAAAGGUUGGAUGGGUUACAUUAUUUUUAGAUGUGGUUUCAGAUUUGAUAAUUUUGAAUAAAUUGGAUUUGAUAGUAAAUAUUAUGUUUAUCCAUCCUGCUUUAUCUCUAAAA